AACGUACUGCGCGAACGUUAUUCGGAAUCACUGGGCUUAAAGGGUGCGCAGGCGGCUUCUCAAGCCCGGGGUGAAAUGCCCCGGCCCAACCGGGGACGUGCUUCGGGGACUGAGAGGCUCGGGCGAGCUAGGGGUCUGUGGAACUCCCGGUGGAGCGGUGAAAUGCGUAGAUAUAUGGAAGAACACCGGUGGCGAAGGCGGCCACCUGGUCCGGUACUGACGCUCAAGCGCGAAAGCGUGGGGAGCAAACAGG
rnacentral:rRNA from 1 species